AAUAAUUCAUAUAUUAAUAGUGUUUAUUUAUAUUUUCAAGGGAACACUGGGCCACCUGGACCACCAGGAGGCCCAGCAGGUAAUCCGAUAGACCCAUGUACUUCCAAUCCCUGUGUGAAUGGGAUCUGUAGAAAGUCAGGCUCUUCUUAUUCAUGCAUCUGCAAUCGAUGCUAUUCAGGAAGCAGAUGUCAAU